rnacentral:other from 15 species
AUUUCGGCAAUUUCGACUCGUUGAAGAGUACUGAAAC